rnacentral:rRNA from 1 species
CCUACGGGUGGCAGCAGUGGGGAAUAUUGCGCAAUGGACGAAAGCCUGACCCAGCGACGCCGCGUGAGGGAUGAAGGUCUUCGGAUCGUAAACCUCUGUCAGCAGGGAAGAACGGUCACUGUGCUAAUCAGCAGUGAAUUGACGGUACCUGCAAAGGAAGCACCGGCUAACUCCGUGCCAGCAGCCGCGGUAGUACGGAGGGAGCGAGCGUUAAUCGGAAUUGCUGGGCGUAAAGCUGUCGUAGGCGGUAUGUCAAGUCAAGGGUGCAAUCCCCGGGCUCAACGUGGGAACUGCCUUUGAAACUGGCAAACUGGAGUGUGUGAGAGGUUAGUGGAA